UACAGGGGGUGCAAACGUUGCUCGGAAUUAUUGGGCGUAAAGCGCACGUAGGCGGUUUGUUAUGUCGGAUGUGAAAGCCCUUGGCUCAACUGAGGAAGUGCAUCCGAAACUGGCAAGCUAGAGUAUGUAAGAGGGUCGCGGAAUUCCCGGUGUAGAGGUGAAAUUCGUAGAUAUCGGGAGGAACACCGGUGGCGAAGGCGGCGACCUGGGACAAUACUGACGCUGAGGAGCGAAAGCAUGGGGAGCGAACAGG
rnacentral:rRNA from 1 species